rnacentral:rRNA from 1 species
CGGUUAAGUUAGAAAGGGCGCACGGUGGAUGCCUUGGCACUAGGAGCCGAUGAAGGACGGGACGAACACCGAUAUGCUUCGGGGAGCUGUAAGCAAGCUUUGAUCCGGAGAUUUCCGAAUGGGGAAACCCACCACUCGUAAUGGAGUGGUAUCCAUAUCUGAAUACAUAGGAUAUGAGAAGGCAGACCCGGGGAACUGAAACAUCUAAGUACCCGGAGGAAGAGAAAGCAAAUGCGAUUCCCUGAGUAGCGGCGAGCGAAACGGGACCAGCCCAAACCAAGAGGCUUGCCUCUUGGGGUUGUAGGACACUCUGUACGGAGUUACAAAGGAACGAGGUAGAUGAAGAGGUCUGGAAAGGCCCGCCAUAGGAGGUAACAGCCCUGUAGUCAAAACUUCGUUCUCUCCUGAGUGGAUCCUGAGUACGGCGGAACACGUGAAAUUCCGUCGGAAUCCGGGAGGACCAUCUCCCAAGGCUAAAUACUCCCUAGUGACCGAUAGUGAACCAGUACCGUGAGGGAAAGGUGAAAAGCACCCCGGAAGGGGAGUGAAAGAGAUCCUGAAACCGUGUGCCUACAAGUAGUCAGAGCCCGUUAACGGGUGAUGGCGUGCCUUUUGUAGAAUGAACCGGCGAGUUAUGAUCCCGUGCAAGGUUAAGCAGAAGAUGCGGAGCCGCAGCGAAAGCGAGUCUGAAUAGGGCGAAUUGAGUACGUGGUCGUAGACCCGAAACCAGGUGAUCUACCCAUGUCCAGGGUGAAGUUCAGGUAACACUGAAUGGAGGCCCGAACCCACGCACGUUGAAAAGUGCGGGGAUGAGGUGUGGGUAGGGGUGAAAUGCCAAUCGAACCUGGAGAUAGCUGGUUCUCUCCGAAAUAGCUUUAGGGCUAGCCUCAAGGUAAGAGUCUCGGAGGUAGAGCACUGAUUGGACUAGGGGCCCCUACCGGGUUACCGAAUUCAGUCAAACUCCGAAUGCCGAUGACUUAUCCUUGGGAGUCAGACUGCGAGUGAUAAGAUCCGUAGUCGAAAGGGAAACAGCCCAGACCGCCAGCUAAGGUCCCAAAGUAUACGUUAAGUGGAAAAGGAUGUGGAGUUGCUUAGACAACCAGGAUGUUGGCUUAGAAGCAGCCACCAUUUAAAGAGUGCGUAAUAGCUCACUGGUCGAGUGACUCUGCGCCGAAAAUGUACCGGGGCUAAACGUAUCACCGAAGCUGCGGACUGUUCUUCGAACAGUGGUAGGAGAGCGUUCUAAGGGCUGUGAAGCAAGACCGGAAGGACUUGUGGAGCGCUUAGAAGUGAGAAUGCCGGUAUGAGUAGCGAAAGAGGGGUGAGAAUCCCCUCCACCGAAUGCCUAAGGUUUCCUGAGGAAGGCUCGUCCGCUCAGGGUUAGUCGGGACCUAAGCCGAGGCCGAAAGGCGUAGGCGAUGGAUAACAGGUUGAUAUUCCUGUACCACCUCCUCACCAUUUGAGCAAUGGGGGGACGCAGGAGGAUAGGGUAAGCGCGGUAUUGGAUAUCCGCGUCCAAGCAGUUAGGCUGGGAAAUAGGCAAAUCCGUUUCCCGUGAAGGCUGAGCUGUGAUGGCGAGCGAAUUAUAGUAGCGAAGUUCCUGAUUCCACACUGCCAAGAAAAGCCUCUAGCGAGGUGAGAGGUGCCCGUACCGCAAACCGACACAGGUAGGCGAGGAGAGAAUCCUAAGGUGAUCGAGAGAACUCUCGUUAAGGAACUCGGCAAAAUGACCCCGUAACUUCGGGAGAAGGGGUGCUCUGUUAGGGUGCAAGCCCGAGAGAGCCGCAGUGAAUAGGCCCAGGCGACUGUUUAGCAAAAACACAGGUCUCUGCGAAGCCGUAAGGCGAAGUAUAGGGGCUGACGCCUGCCCGGUGCUGGAAGGUUAAGAGGAGCGCUUAGCGUAAGCGAAGGUGCGAAUUGAAGCCCCAGUAAACGGCGGCCGUAACUAUAACGGUCCUAAGGUAGCGAAAUUCCUUGUCGGGUAAGUUCCGACCCGCACGAAAGGCGCAACGAUCUGGGCACUGUCUCAACGAGAGACUCGGUGAAAUUAUAGUACCUGUGAAGAUGCAGGUUACCCGCGACAGGACGGAAAGACCCCGUGGAGCUUUACUGCAGCCUGAUAUUGAAUGUUGGUACAGCUUGUACAGGAUAGGUAGGAGCCUUGGAAACCGGAGCGCCAGCUUCGGUGGAGGCAUCGGUGGGAUACUACCCUGGCUGUAUUGACCUUCUAACCCGCCGCCCUUAUCGGGCGGGGAGACAGUGUCAGGUGGGCAGUUUGACUGGGGCGGUCGCCUCCUAAAAGGUAACGGAGGCGCCCAAAGGUUCCCUCAGAAUGGUUGGAAAUCAUUCGCAGAGUGUAAAGGCACAAGGGAGCUUGACUGCGAGACCUACAAGUCGAGCAGGGACGAAAGUCGGGCUUAGUGAUCCGGUGGUUCCGCAUGGAAGGGCCAUCGCUCAACGGAUAAAAGCUACCCCGGGGAUAACAGGCUUAUCUCCCCCAAGAGUCCACAUCGACGGGGAGGUUUGGCACCUCGAUGUCGGCUCAUCGCAUCCUGGGGCUGUAGUCGGUCCCAAGGGUUGGGCUGUUCGCCCAUUAAAGCGGUACGCGAGCUGGGUUCAGAACGUCGUGAGACAGUUCGGUCCCUAUCCGUCGCGGGCGUAGGAAAUUUGAGAGGAGCUGUCCUUAGUACGAGAGGACCGGGAUGGACGCACCGCUGGUGUACCAGUUGUUCUGCCAAGGGCAUCGCUGGGUAGCUAUGUGCGGACGGGAUAAGUGCUGAAAGCAUCUAAGCAUGAAGCCCCCCUCAAGAUGAGAUUUCCCAUUCCGCAAGGAAGUAAGAUCCCUGAAAGAUGAUCAGGUUGAUAGGUCUGAGGUGGAAGUGUGGCGACACAUGGAGCUGACAGAUACUAAUCGAUCGAGGACUUAACCUAAUUU